GAUGAACGCUGGCGGCGUGCUUAACACAUGCAAGUCGAACGGCGUGGCGAACGGGUGAGUAACACGUGGGUGAACUGCCCUGCACUUCGGGAUAAGCCUGGGUAACUGGGUCCAAUACCGGCUUGUGUGGGAUGGGCGCGCGGCCUAUCGGCUUGUUGGUGGGGUAAUGGCCUACCACGGCGGCGACGGGUACCCGGCCUUAGAGGGGGGACAGCCACAUGGGGCCUGAGAGACGGAGCAGAGGGCGACAGGGGGCAGCAGGGGGGAGUAUUGCGCAGUGGGGGGGCGCGUGAGACAGCGACGCCGGGUGGGGGAAGACGGCCUUGGGGUGGUGAACUCCUUGCACCAUCGACGCGGUAGCUGGAGAAGAAGCACCGGCUAACUCCGUGCCAGCAGCCGCGGUAAUUC
rnacentral:rRNA from 1 species